rnacentral:lncRNA from 1 species
CAAGGGAUGCAUCAGGCUAGAAUAGACCAGGCUCUCUGCUUUCUGGGGACUUGUAUUCUACUAAAAUAAUAUGGAAAAUGGGUAAGUAAAAUAACAACUCAUUGUCAGGGACCCCACAGCCACCACACUUGGCUCGGACAACAGGUCAAUAUCAGUGACUUUCCUCUUUAAAUGAAAGCUACAGUGCUAAUUUUCCUUGGGAGCAAAUUGUACAUGUGUUCCAAGUUCUCCAUCAUGCAGCACCUGACCGAUUCUUCUGGUCUAUCGACAAGAGCUCCUCUAAGUUCAUCAAUAACUUCCCUGCCUUUAUCUUUGCUCAGGCUGCCUUGGCAGCUUGCUUCAUCCUUUAUCUCUCUCCAUGUUAAGACAUUUGUCAAUUCCCAAUACAGAAAAAAAUAACCAAUAAAAC